CCUACGGGAGGCAGCAGUGAGGAAUAUUGGUCAAUGGGCGUAAGCCUGAACCAGCCAAGUCGCGUGAGGGAUGAAGGUUCUAUGGAUCGUAAACCUCUUUUAUAAGGGAUAAAAGUGUGGGAAGGGUCCUAUUUUGUAUGUACCUUAUGAAUAAGGAUCGGCUAACUCCGUGCCAGCGGCCGCGUUAAUACGGGGGAUCCGAGCUUUAUCCGGAUUUAUUGGGUUUAAAGGGUGCGUAGGCGGCCUUUUGAGUCAGCGGUGAAAGUCUGUGGCUUAACCAUAGAAUUGCCGUUGCAACUGGGGGGCUUGAGUAUGUGUGAGGCAGGCGGAAUGCGUGGUGUAGCGGUGAAAUGCUUAGAUAUCACGCAGAACCCCGAUUGCGAAGGCAGCCUGCCAAGCCAUGACUGACGCUGAUGCACGAAAGCGUGGGGAUCAAACAGGAUUAGAUACCCCAGUAGUC
rnacentral:rRNA from 1 species